GACAGAGGUGCCGAGCGUUAGGCGGAAUCAUUGGGCGUAAAGCGCGUGUAGGCGGCCCGAUAAGUCCGCUGUGAAAGUCCAGGGCUCAACCCUGGGAUGCCGGUGGAUACUGUCGGGCUCGAGUCCGGAAGAGGCGAGUGGAAUUCCUGGUGUAGCGGUGAAAUGCGCAGAUAUCAGGAGGAACACCAAUGGCGAAGGCAGCUCGCUGGGACGUGACUGACGCUGAGACGCGAAAGCGUGGGGAGCAAACAGG
rnacentral:rRNA from 1 species